GGGGGAAAAACUUUUUUUUUAUCCACUUAUAAUAAAAUGCCUGCUUAAGUCUAAGAUAACUUAAGAUUAUUUUCACUACUUUAUCUUGCCGUUAGACAGCCUGUUCCAGCUGGAAUCUAAAGCUUGUGUCUACCUGCACCAAAGCCGAUAGAGAAAAUAAGCAAUUUUACAUUCCAUUACACAGGUGAUGCCUCAGUUGGUAACUUAAAAUAUGCUAUUUUAUGACUUUGGGUGUUACAAAUUUUAGGUAAAGUUUUACUUCAUUAGGGUAAAUUUACCUCAGGAGGCAGCAGUAGACCAGCACCUCCAGUGUCUCCAUGAGCUAAAAACGUUGAUAUUCACUAUGGACUUUGGUGCGGGGGAAUUUACAAACUUCCUGCUGCAGAUGUUGUAGAUUUAAUGAGGUAUAGCUUUUAUUACAUGAGCAUGCCCGCUGGUUCUUGGCAAAGGUGGCCAGCAGGGGCCGUGCACACCUGAGUCUGUGAGUUUGAAUCUCAUAAAAUUACAAAAAAAAAAAAAAAGCAGAACUUUAACCACUACUGAGAUGAUGCUCACAGUCUCAUCCUGCAGCUUUUACAAGUACAAAUAAGAAUCAUCCGCAGCCAACAUAUUUUUAAGGUUUAGAGACUUUGUCCACAUACUGUAUAUGCUGCAUAUGUGAAAACAAGGAGCCAUGGCAGUCAAACUGAUUGUAUUUAGUAUUUCUCUUUGGCAUGGAGGUGUGCAUGUGUAGAGCCUCUGAUGAGGUGAGUGUAUUAUUCUCUGGGUGUGGGUGGGGAGUAUGUUUUGUACAGCUGUUUUUUCCUGAAACCCUUAUUAGUUUUAUGGCUGCAAGCAAUACAGCUUAAUUUUUUAACUCCUUGAUAAAAAGCUUUAUCAUGAACACACACGCUGCUUUCUGUGAAGCAUAUUUGUCUCCACUCGUCGGUUGAGAAUCACCAGACACGUUACUGUGAAGCACGCACACAUCUCGACGCUCAGUGUUUCUUCGCACGUUGCUUUAAAGAAAAAAAAAAUAAAUAAAACAAUGGAUUUCCAGUGGUUAAACCCGAUGAGCAGCAAUAGUUUAUUGUGAUGUGGAAGCGCUUUUGUCAGGAUGUGUUUCGGUAGCUCACGCUUGUUAUGUCUCUCCGCUUCAAAUGUGUCAUCAGCGUGUGAAUACUUGCAAAAAGUAUAUUUAUUUUCUCUUUUU